UGUCUAGGAUGGUCUCGAUCUCCUGACCUUGUGAUCUGCCCACCUCAGACUCCCAAAGUGCUGGGAUUGAGGAAUCUUUCAACCCCUUGCUACCUUUCAAAUUGCAUAGGAACAUUGAAAAGAUGAUAAAAUGUGGAGGCUCAAAGAAAACAAGCAGUGUUCAGCAUUCCGAAAGUGGCCUGGUUUGAGGAAAUUAAUUAUUUGGCAUCUCUGAACAAGUGGUGUUUUGGACUCCUAAACUUAAAGAUAAAUACAUAUUGUUUCCUACCCUUCAUUCGUCUUCCUUCUCCUCGCCCGACCCAGAACUCCAAGAAGGCUAAUCUCUUCUGCAAUAUCGUAAUGGCCUUGAAGCAAUCUAACAUCUGUGUUCUUCCUUUCCUCAUCUAUGAAAUUACUUUCAAAUAACCAAAUUAAACAGGAUCUUCCAUUUGGGCUGGAAUGGUAAGAGCGGCAGAGGACAGCAUGUUCCCAUUUAUAAUAGCAGGCACGGAAAUUCAACCAGACUUUGCUGAUCUAAGAGAUGCUCUUGGAAGACCCCAUUACUUAAAUGAUCUAGAAAAUGUCCUCCCGAGUCAAGGUCUCUGCAAAUGUAAUGAGUCCAGACACCAAGGGAAACGGAGAAGAUAAGAAGCAGAGAUUGAGGUAAUGCGUCCACCAGCCAAGGAGCACCAAGACGUGCUGGCGACCACCAGAUGCUAGCGGGGAGACCUGGAACAGAUUCUCCCUCAAAGCCUCCAGAAGUAAACCAACUCUGUAGACACCUUCAUUUCAGACUUCUGGUCUCCAGAGCUGACAAUCCAUGUCCAUUUACCUGUGUUCUGUGAGACAGAUGAAGCCUGGACUUCUGCUAUCCUGCCCUUGCUGGGAAUGAGCAGGGUUGUACCUGCACUCAUCAUGGAAUAAGCACUAAAGAAACAAAGCUACAACAGAAGAUGUCCUCUACUGCAGGGCACCUUACAUUCCAAUCCUCCAAUAUGGCAGCGAGUCAAAAUCUCAAAAGACCUGAGUGCCUUCUGCGUAAGUCCCCGUAGGCUUCUAGUAUUCAUUUUACAAGUAUACUGAUGCUCUCAGUUGAUGCUGAGGGGGUGGCUGUUCAUGAAGAUGAUGGAAUUGGCUUCGGCAGAGGUCUCUCUUUGACCAUCUAGAGGCACUGUUGCUUAUCUAUCAGGAAACGGAGGGAGGCACUGGGAAUUUGAACUCGAGCUCUGGAGUUCUUCCAUGCAGCUGUGUUUACGUAUCAUCAAGCACCGAUUCAUUGCCCGUUGGGACAGAGGAGAAUCAGGCCUGGUCUGGCAUCAUUGCCGGGUGGGUGUGAAAUGCCACUUCUACCGAGACCAACUGGAAAUGAAAGAUCGUCAACAGUCAAAAAGGUCACUGCAUAAAUGCCUGUGAAGUCCAAGUAACUGUCAGAGACAGAAUACGCUUUGCAGCGGAGAGUUUUCCAGGAAAGAAAAAUGGUCUCUGUGAAUGUUCUUUGGGAGGCCACGGAUGGCUUGUUCUGAAGUGAAUGGAAUUGCUUUGCAGAAGACGCAUAGCCAGGCUGAGUUCAGGAGGUAUCUCUUUUUUUUUUUUUUUUUUUUUUUGAGACGGAGUCUCGCUCUGUUGCCCAGGCUGGAGUGCAGUGGCACAAUCUCAGCUCACUGCAACCUCUGCUUCCCGGGUUCAAGCAAUUCUCCUGUCUCCACCUCCCGAGUAGCUGGCAUUACAGGCACUGCCACCAAGCCUGGCUAAUUUUUGUAUUUUUAGUAGAGAUGGAGUUUCACGAUGUUGGCCAGGCUAGUCUCGAACUCCUGACCUCAAGUGAUCCACCCACCUCAGCCUCUCAAAGUGCUGGGAUAACAGACGUGAGCCACUGCACCCGGCCCAGGAGGUGUCUUAAUCCAUUUGCUGUUGCUACAACAGAGUAACACCGUCUGGGUAAUUCACAGAAGAAGUUUAUUUUGUAAAGUCCUGGAGGCUGGCAAGUCCAAAAGGCAUGGUGCCUGCAUCUGAUGAGAGCCUCUUGCUAUAGUACAACAUAGUGGAGGACUUAUAAUGCCACCAGCUCUGUCCAUGUGGGCCUCGCUUUGAUGAUCUUACCUAAUUCUAAUUGUCUCCUAAGGGUGCCACUCCAAAUACUACAACAUACUAAUUUGAGAGAGAAGUUUCCAACACAUGAAGCUUGGGAGACACAAACCAUACAGGGUGGAGUCAAGACGGCUUGUUUAAUUCGGCCAACUUGAGCAAAGAGGCAUAAUGGUUAUUGCCUCUCUGGGUUCACUAAACACAUAAACAUGCCCACACUAAUAAUUCAUGUCGACCGCAGUACUCUCUGCUUUUCCUGAAUAGCAUAUUGUGUUGAACAGGUUAUACGACCUUGGGUAGAGACUUAGCUCUCUUUAAGCCUCCAUUUCUCAUCUGUAAAAUGAGAAUGAAAGAUGGUUUCUCCGUAUUUAUGGAAGGGUUCCAACAAGGUAAAGUGUGUAGCGUACUUUGUCAAUUCUAAAGCACUCUUCUGAUAUAAAUUAUAGCAUCCCCGGAUUCAUUGUUUGAGUUGGUUUCUUUUUUAAAAUUAAUUUCUGUUGUAUGUAUUUAAGGUGUGCAACAUGAUUUUUUGAUAUAGUGACAUAGUGAAAUGAUUAUAAUUGUUAAGAAAAUGAACACAGCUAUCAUCUCACAUAUUUACCUUUUUUGCGACAAGAGCACCUUAAAUCUACUCUCUUAACAAAAAUCCUAAAUAUGAAAUGUAUUAUAGUCCUUAUAUUUUGCAUUUGAUUUCUAGACUUAUUCUACAUCAUCUAUAACAACCACCAUUUUUUCUAUUUCUAUAUAUUUUCUUUCUUCCUUCCUUCCUUCUUUCCUUUCUUCCUUUUUUCUGAUAAGGAGUCUCGCUCUUUCGCCCAGGCUGGAGUGCAGUGGCGUGAUCUUGGCUCACUGCAAGCUCCGCCUCCCGGGUUCACGCCAUUCUCCUGCCUCAGCCUCCUGAGUAGCUGGGACUGCAGGCACCCACCACCAUGCCCAGCUAAUUUUUUGUAUUUUGUAUUUGCCUUCCUUUCUUUUUCAUUUCCUUCUUUCUGCCUUCUUUUCAUUCUUUUAUUUUUGUAGAUUCUUUAUAUAAGUGAGAUCCAAUACUUUUAACUGAAUGUGAACAUUUCUUUUACAAAAUAAAAUGUAUGUUCAGGCUUUUACUUAAUCCAUGCUAGUAAGAGCCUGGUUCAAAAAUGAGCUGCAGGUUUUUUCAAAGAGAAUCACAAUCAUUUCUGUGGAAUAGGUGAAGUGAAAGACAUUUUUAGAAAGUUUGCAUCUUUUUGCAGAGACUUUUAAUGAAGGGGUUUAUGUUUUCCGCUCUGUUCGUUUACUGAAAGCAAAAGAAGAAAAGUGAGGAAGGGAUUAUACAAAGAAAGUGACUGAAAAAUUCUGAAAAUAUCUGUUUUCAUAAGAUAAGAGCUUUAUUCUAGUUCUGAACAUAUAAUCAUAGUCAUCAUUGUCCUUAUUUAAAUAAAAACAGCUAGCUGGGCAACUUAGUCUCAUUGAAAUUCCUGAGAUCUUCAUUCUUUCUUGGUAUUUGGCUGAAAAAAGAAUAAGUUUAUCUCAUUCUUUUCCCAAAGUAUAGCACAAGGUUGAGAGCCUGGACUCGUGGCAUGCAUACCUAAUGAGACCGUUGUAUUACUUGGGGUGAAACUCCUUCCAUUUGACUUGAUGUAGUUAUUUUCUUUUUCUUGCAAGGGAAGCAAACUUUGGGUUCUACCUGGGUCUUCCUUAAGCAUCAGGUGUGUUUCAAAUGGAUAGAUUUAAUAAUAAUUGAUCCACUAAUAAUUGAUCCACUGGGCAAUGAUUUUUUAAAUGUUUGUUUUCAAAUUUAAAACAAUGCCUCAAGUUUAGAAAUGCCUCUCCUCGGCCGGGCGCGGUGGCUCAUGCCUGUAAUCCCAGCACUUUGGGAG